rfam:Cuculus canorus isolate BGI_N303 unplaced genomic scaffold scaffold222, whole genome shotgun sequence.
UACAUGCUCCUUAGAUCCAUCUUUGUGAGUAUCUUUGUGCUGAGUUCUGCUAGAUAACUUCAGUUUCUAGCAGUUCCAGUCCAAGGUAUUCAGCAACUUUUUGGUUGUACAGUCAAAGAUGCUUGAGUCAUUGGCAUGUAAGAGUAAUAUAACUGCAUGUUAGCUUUCUGUUCUGAUAGAAGUGGCUGUAAAUAUACAAGUCAUUUAUCACUGUCAGGACUGGGCUGAUAUGCGGACAUG